rnacentral:snoRNA from 2 species
CCCCUCUCAGGGUCGCACCUGGAAAGUUUCCAGUUCUCUACUAGUCUCGACUAUGGGAGGGAGAGUCAAGCAGAGGCAUUUCCAUUCCUAGCUUGGGCAGUGGCUAGCGAGUGGAAGGCAAUCUGCUACAAAU